rnacentral:misc_RNA from 1 species
CUAAGGAGCAUCUGCUCAGAUCCUUCCGAAGAGUCGGAAGUGACUGUGCCAGAGCCGUUUCGGACUCACAUGUAGUCCGGCGGAGCUCAUGGGUGGAACGCUGACAACCUCUCCCGCAUGUGGAGGAAGCCGAGUCUUUCUUCGUGGGUGAUAUAUCGACCCACUGUUGGGUCCUGAAAGAACAGACGUUCUUUCCAGGCAAAAAAUGCGACGAGGCUGAUCUUCAGUCAUACCGGCUUCUUCCUUCGGGUUGGGGUGCUGGUGCUGGGUUAUGGGUUGGUCUUGUGUGUUGUUUGAGAACUGCACAGUGGACGCGAGCAUCUUUGUUAGUAAGUGUUUAAGAGCGUAC